CAGCCCCUCUUCCCUGCUCAUGCUUUCUCUUUCUCUUCCUAAAAUUAAAAAAAAAAAAAAAAGGGUUGCCUGAGUGGCUCAGUUUGUUAAGCGUCUGACUCUUGAUCUUGGCUCAGGUCAUAAUCUCAUGGUUUGUGCGUUUGAGCCCUGAAUCAGGCUGUUUGCUGCCAGCAAGGAGCCUGCUUGGGAUUCUCUCUCUCCCUCUCUUCCCCUCCUCUACACACUCUCUCUCUCUCUCAAAAUAAGUAAGUAAAUAAACUUAAAAAAAUAAAAUAAAAUAAAAUAAAAUGAAAUAAAAUAAAAGCAGUGGAAAUAUGUGCUAAAAAAUGUUUCUGAAGUAAAGUGUGUGUGGGGAAGGGGAGUAUCAAAUACUGCUGAAAGAUCCACCAAGAUGCAGACAUAUUUAGCAGGAAGAAGGAUGUUUCUUUGUGAGAGCAGUUUCAGUCAUUUUAGAGUGGUUCAGAAAGUAAACCAGAGGUGAGAAAAAGGAAAUAGUGUAGCCAACACGUGGAAGAAGUUCAACAGUUUUAAACUAGAAAGAAAUUUCAGUUAUGAAUUAGAAAGAAAUAAGACUAUAAAUUUAGACAAAUUUGAAGAAGAAAUUUUGCUUAUUUGUACUUUUUUAUUUGAAGAAUUUUGUUUGUUUUUAAAACUCUGGUUUUAAGGAGGACAGAGGUGACUGUUUUGACUCUGAUAAGGAAGAUUCAGUAGAGAGGGGGAAAUUGAAGAGGAAGAAGAAAGAUAAAGGAGGGCUGUUUGAAGGGCCUUGGAACUAGAUGAAUGUGAAUAAGAAACUGAAACCCGUGAUUUUCUCUGAAAAUCCAUGAAACGUCAGCCUUGGGGCCUCACUUCCAUGAUUCUUCCCAAGAUGCUAGAACUAAGUUCUAAUUUGUGUUCUUUCAUUUUUCUUCCUCUUUUCCUCCUUUUUUCCCUUUUCUCUUUUCCUUUCUCUCUCUUUCUCUUUCUUUCUUUCUCCCUCUGAAGAAAACUCCCUAAAUUGUAUAAACUUCACACCCCACAAAAGAUGGAUCAACAUCUCUGGGAAGAUGUUAAAUAUGAACAAAAAAGAGCAAACCUCUUGUGUACAUAUGAAAUAGAGCUUGUCAAGCUUUAACAAGCCUGAUAAUCACUGGGGAAGCUUGUUAAAACACAGAUUUCUGAGUAGUAUUAUACUAUGAGUUUAUUGAUGAUAAAACUAGGACUUACAAAGAUUAUAUGACUUUGUCUAAGUCUUAAGUCUUAGUCUUAAGACUAAGAUCACACAACUGUUUAUGGCCAAGCUGGUACUAGAUCUCGUGUACCAUCAUUUCAGUGGUGUUUUCUCUUGCUCUAUUUAUACUCUAUCCUCUAUUGUUUAUGUUACUGGAAAACUUCUACCUAUUUUUAUCAGGGCUAUGAAAAAAUUAGUCUUACAGACUUCCCAGAGUAAAGUGCAACUUUUGAGAAACUUAAACUCAACUAUCCAGCAAUAUUUUCCUUUGCUAAGAAUAAGGAUCUUUUUUACCAACCUUGUUUGCUUUUUAAUACAAGCACUGCAGAAUUUUAGAUAAUGUAAACCUUAUCCUGAAUGUAUUAGUUUCCAUUGAGCACAACAAAUUGCCAUGAACAUACAGGCUUAAACCAAUACAAAUUUAUGAUGUCACAAUUUCCAUGGGUCAAAACUCUAGGCACUGGUUAGCAGAAUUCUGCCUCAGGGUCUCACCAGGCUGUAAGCAAGCCAAUGUGGGUGUCAGGUAAAUGCCAAGAAAGACAGAACAUUGACCCUGUCACCAAGAUAAUGUCAUGGUCCCAGGGUCAUGAGACUGAGCCCUUCAUCGUGGAGCCUGCUUGAGAUUCUCUUUCUCUCUCUCUCUCUCUCUCUCUCUCUCUCUCUCUCUCUCUC